rnacentral:rRNA from 1 species
GCCAGACUCCUACGGGAGGCAGCAGUGAGGGAUAUUGGGCAAUGGGGGAAACCCUGACCCAGCGACGCCGCGUGAGGGAAGACGGUCUUCGGAUUGUAAACCUCUGUCUUUGGGGACGAAAAAGGACGGUACCCAAGGAGGAAGCUCCGGCUAACUACGUGCCAGCAGCCGCGGUAAUACGUAGGGAGCGAGCGUUGUCCGGAUUUACUGGGUGUAAAGGGGGCGCAGACGGCGAUGCAAGCCAGGAGUGAAAGCCCGGGGCCCAGCCCCGGGACUGCUCUUGGAACUGCGUGGCUGGAGUGCAGGAGGGGCAGGCGGAAUUCCUGGUGUAGCGGUGAAAUGCGUAGAUAUCAGGAGGAACACCGGUGGCGAAGGCGGCCUGCUGGACUGCAACUGACGUUGAGGCCCGAAGGCGUGGGGAGCAAACAGGAUUAGAUACCCUCGUA